rnacentral:lncRNA from 1 species
GCACGCCCGGCGCUACCCCAAACCUGCCCCACGGCGAGCUGAGUCCACCGGCACCAGCCCACGCCUCCCGUCCACCCUGAGGGUCAUGGAGCAGCAAGACUCGCGGGCGCCCAGGACUCCAACAUCAUGAGGGAGAUUGGUGUCAGAGCGCUCAGGGCAACCUGUGUAAACACAGAGAAAAGUGUUCCUGAAAAAUCCCAUACAGAAGUGAGGACUUCACCAUCUACCAUGGUUUCCAUCAAUAAGGUCUUGCAAAAUUUGAAUAUGGAAGCAUCAUGUUACCUGAAAGGAAAGCAAACCUGUCACCCCACACACAGAAGAGUAUGUGUUGGCAUCUCUGCAAGAAGGACACUUCCCUCGCAAGCUCAUGGCACAAGAAUAGGAUAUGGAGCAGGAAAACGCAUCUGAGUCAGGGCAGUGGAAGGAUGUGUCUGCCUCCACCGUCAGUCUUGCUCCAGACUGUGCAACCAUCCCUGUUCUACAGGGCUUAUGGAAGACGUGAUUGAUGACAUCCAAACUUACACUUAAGAUCUUCUGCUGAAGAUCUUCUGCUCCAAGGAUCAAACCUAACUACUCAGUCAACUAUUGUCAAUAUUUGAUUAUAUCCACUUCAUUCUCUUUAUGCUCUUCAGCCUCCUUAGCUAUACUCUUCUAAGUGUGAAAAAGUUCACAUGGCAGUAUUGGCAGGGGGAGGCUUAUGUCAUCUUCCCUAAGUGCUUCAUAGGUUAACUCUGAAAUGUCAGAAGCCCUGUGGGCAAAUUGCAGAAGCUAGAGAGGGCCUCCAUCAGCAUCCAAGAUCUGUGACAGUGGUUUUCUGAAGAGGCACUGAGGUUUUGCAGGUGGAAUACAGAAUCACCUGGGAGUUUUCUCAGACUACACUUGCCAGUUCCUUCCCCCAAACCCCGAGAGAUGGAUCUCGCCUUGCCACCAACCCGUUUAAAAUCACUGAUCUGGCUUGUUAGGAAAGAGCUUCAUUAAACUUAAAUUUAGCAUGUGAGGCUGUGGAUAACCCCAUCUCUGUUUCAGAGAAACAACUGUUUACUAUUCUAACACUCUGGAAACCUGGCAAGCCGCUCCAGGAGGGCUGGCAACCCUGAGCUCCAGAGGCUUCUGUGCAGCUGCUCUGUAAGGGACCCCUGCCCCAGCUCCCACCUGCCCAGCUCGGUGUUCAAAUUAGGAGGGGGUACAUGGCCAAGAACUUUGCAGGACCCAGAAGGGCAGCCAGAACCUAUUUUUGAUGAUCCUGAGGAUUAUUAAGAAAGGAAAUUCCACAAAGUCCUUGUAACUCUCAGAAAGGAUUUUGUUCCACUGCUUGCUUUCUUUGUCUUCCAAUUCUAUUUCUGGAUUUCCCUCUUUACAUUUCUAGGUCUGGAACUGAAUAGCAAUGAAGUAAAAGUGAUUGUCCUAAAGAGAUAUUCCUGGGUGAAAAAAUGGGUUACUGAAAAUCCCUGCCCACCACCUAUAUGAUGGUGGUAUUGGUGGACUUGUGAGAGGAUUUGAAGGACAGUUGGAGCCCUGAGAAUUCUGGGCUCCAGAAUUCCCAGGGGAUUCUGAAGGGGGAUUUUUAUUCUAUUGUCGCUUACUCUAGGGGAAAGUCGAUGUGGGUUACAGCUACCUAGGUAGUGGGGCUGAAUUAAUUGCUGCACACUGAGAAAUUGUCUUGCUUACACUUUCUUUCUGUAUUUAUUUAUUUUAUUGAAGUAUAGUUGAUUUACAAUGUUGUAUCACUUCACAAAAUGAUUCAGAUAUAUAUAUAUAUAUAUUACAUAUAUGUGAAACUUAUAACCAUAUACUUCUGUUAUAUUUUAUUAUAAGGUAUUGAAUAUAGUUCCCUGUGUAUACAGUAGGACCUUGUUGUUUACCUAUUUUGUAUACAGUAGUGUGUAUCUGCUAAUCCCAAACUCCUAAUUCGUCCCUGCCCUCCUUCCCCUUUGCUGACCGUAAGUUUGUAUUCUGUGUCUCACACUUUACUCUAGAAGCAUUUGUUGCAGGAAAAGCCUUCUGGUUAGAUCCUCAUCUUCUAAAUCACACGCUCCGUACGUGACCCUGGGUGUUGGAGCGGGGACACUGGACCAUAGAGGCGAAACAGCCCCAGUAUCCACAAGUGACGUGAUAGACAGGCCGCGUGAUCUCGGCAGCUAAAAUGAGACUCCAGACGCCAGAGGGAAUGGAAAGUGAUGACGCCGGACACCCGAACAGUAUCGUAACCUCAGAGGAUGUUCACAGCCAGGACUAUGUAAGCUGAAUGGACUGGAGCUAAGUGCGUAAGACAGCCUUGUGGACAGAGAAUGUAAUGACGUUGCCUUUUAUUUCCUGUUUGAGGUAUCCUGUCGAGUGAGCCUGCUCAUUACGGAGAAGAUAAAGUAAAGCUUUAAUUCAUCACUAUUUGAUGUUGGAAAUGCACCCUGGAAGAGUAUAGAGUUUACACACUUGAAGGCUAUCUUUAGCCAAACUUGUCCAAAGCCAUCUAUUCUGCAGUUAUCUUUAUUUUUGCCUAGCAGACCAUACAGCAGGCAGUGAAUACAUAAUUAGUCCUUACGGUGGACUAUUCUCCCCAGAAUUCUGGAAGCCAGGGCAAAAUUCCAGAACCUUCUUUUUAAAAGAUGUUAGUUUCUGUUAUAACAAAAAUAACAGCAGUGAACUAACAGUGAAAUAUGAUAUAUACAUUUAUAUAUAUAUAUAUAUAUACACUCCUCGUAUAAUUGAGUGAAUGAUACCUUUUAUUUUGAGAUUUUUGCUCUUUUCUCAUCUUUUUAAAACCAUUUUAAAGAUUGAAAUAUAGUUGAUUUACAAUGUGAUGUUAGUUUUAGGUACACAGCAAAGUGAUUCAGUUUAUAUAUAUAUAUAUAUAGCUAGCAUGCCUGCUCAGUCACUUCAGUCAUGUCCAACUCUUUUGCAAUCCCAUGGACUGUAGCCCACCAAACUCCUCUGUCUAUGGGAUUCUCCAGGCAAGAAUACAGGAAUGGGUUGCCAUGCCUUUCUCCAGGGGAUCUUCCCGACCCAAGGAUCAAACCUGUGUCUCCUGCCUCCCUUGCAUUGGCAGGCGGAUUCUUUACCCCUGGGCCACCUGGGAAGCCCUCACAGUUCUUAUACUUUGAUUUUGAAAUAUACAUAUGUGUUAUAGUUACCUAAAUACUGUUCAUUUAUAGGCUUUCAAUAAUUAAACUGACUCCAUUUAAAUUUAAACAGUUACUUCUAAUAGUAAUAGAAUAAAGUCUUGGUGGAGAAGGCAAGUUUUGCAACCUGAAAUCUUUUUAUACAUUGUUAUAGAAAAACAAUGCAUAGAAUUGGAACUAUACUAGGAGUUUGGGAAAAGGCUUAAAAGCAAAUUUGAAAUAUGUCCUCUAACCUUCUUAAUUAAAAACCAAACCAAAACAAACAAUCUGACCAUCA